AACGAACGCUGGCGGCGUGCCUAACACAUGCAAGUCGAGCGAGAAAGUUCCUUCGGGAACGAGUACAGCGGCGCACGGGUGAGUAACACGUAGGUAACCUACCCUCGAGCCCGGAAUAACCCGUCGAAAGAUGGGCUAAUGCCGGAUGAGACCACGGUGGUCAUGGCCACCGCGGUCAAAGAUGGCCUCUGUUCACAUGCUAUUACUCGGGGAUGGGCCUGCGCGCCAUUAGCUAAGUUGGUGAGGUAACGGCUCACCAAGGCGAUGAUGGCUAGCUGGUCUGAGAGGAUGGACCAGCCACACUGGGACUGACACACGGCCCAGACUCCUACGGGAGGCAGCAGUGGGGAUAUUGCGCAAUGGGCGAAAGCCUGACGCAGCGACGCCGCGUGGGUGAUGAAGGCC
rnacentral:rRNA from 1 species